UACAGAGGGUGCAAGCGUUGUUCGGAAUUACUGGGCGUAAAGGGCGCGUAGGCGGUUUGGUAAGUCAGAUGUGAAAGCCCGGGGCUCAACCCCCGGAAGUGCAUUUGAAACUACCAGACUAGAGUGCAGUAGAGAAUGGCGGAAUUCCCAGUGGAGAGGUGAAAAUUCGUAGAUAUUGGGAGGAACACCGGUGGCGAAGGCGGCGAUCUGGGUCGAUACUGACGCUGAGGUGCGAAAGCGUGGGGAGCAAACAGG
rnacentral:rRNA from 1 species